UACGUAGGGGGCUAGCGUUGUCCGGAAUUAUUGGGCGUAAAGGGCUCGUAGGCGGUUUGUCGCGUCGGGAGUGAAAACACCGGGCUUAACUCGGUGCUUGCUUUCGAUACGGGCAGACUAGAGGCAUGCAGGGGAGAACGGAAUUCCUGGUGUAGCGGUGAAAUGCGCAGAUAUCAGGAGGAACACCGGUGGCGAAGGCGGGUCUCUGGGCAACAACUGACGCUGAGGAGCGAAAGCGUGGGGAGCGAACAGG
rnacentral:rRNA from 1 species